AACGAACGCUGGCGGCAUGCCUAACACAUGCAAGUCGAACGAGACCUUCGGGUCUAGUGGCGCACGGGUGCGUAACGCGUGGGAAUCUGCCCUUGGGUUCGGAAUAACAGUGAGAAAUUACUGCUAAUACCGGAUGAUGUCUUCGGACCAAAGAUUUAUCGCCCAGGGAUGAGCCCGCGUAGGAUUAGCUAGUUGGUGGGGUAAUGGCCUACCAAGGCGACGAUCCUUAGCUGGUCUGAGAGGAUGAUCAGCCACACUGGGACUGAGACACGGCCCAGACUCUUACGGGAGGCAGCAGUGGGGAAUAUUGGACAAUGGGCGCAAGCCUGAUCCAGCAAUGCCGCGUGAGUGAUGAAGGCCUUAGGGUUGUAAAGCUCUUUUACCCGGGAUGAUAAUGACAGUACCGGGAGAAUAAGCUCCGGCUAACUCCGUG
rnacentral:rRNA from 1 species